rnacentral:rRNA from 1 species
UCCUACGGGAGGCAGCAGUGGGGAAUAUUGCACAAUGGGCGCAAGCCUGAUGCAGCGACGCCGCGUGAGGGAUGGAGGCCUUCGGGUUGUAAACCUCUUUUAUCGGGGAGCAAGCGAGAGUGAGUUUACCCGUUGAAUAAGCACCGGCUAACUACGUGCCAGCAGCCGCGGUAAUACGUAGGGUGCAAGCGUUAUCCGGAAUUAUUGGGCGUAAAGGGCUCGUAGGCGGUUCGUCGCGUCCGGUGUGAAAGUCCAUCGCUUAACGGUGGAUCCGCGCCGGGUACGGGCGGGCUUGAGUGCGGUAGGGGAGACUGGAAUUCCCGGUGUAACGGUGGAAUGUGUAGAUAUCGGGAAGAACACCAAUGGCGAAGGCAGGUCUCUGGGCCGUUACUGACGCUGAGGAGCGAAAGCGUGGGGAGCGAACAGGAUUAGAUACCCUGGUAGUCCACGCCGUAAACGGUGGAUGCUGGAUGUGGGGCCCGUUCCACGGGUUCCGUGUCGGAGCUAACGCGUUAAGCAUCCCGCCUGGGGAGUACGGCCGCAAGGCUAAAACUCAAAGAAAUUGACGGGGGCCCGCACAAGCGGCGGAGCAUGCGGAUUAAUUCGAUGCAACGCGAAGAACCUUACCUGGGCUUGACAUGUUCCCGACGGUCGUAGAGAUACGGCUUCCCUUCGGGGCGGGUUCACAGGUGGUGCAUGGUCGUCGUCAGCUCGUGUCGUGAGAUGUUGGGUUAAGUCCCGCAACGAGCGCAACCCUCGCCCCGUGUUGCCAGCGGAUUAUGCCGGGAACUCACGGGGGACCGCCGGGGUCAACUCGGAGGAAGGUGGGGAUGACAUGGCGACAUGGAGCGGAUCCCUGAAAACCGGUCUGAGUUCGGGUCGGAGCCUGCAACCCGGCUCCGUGAAGGCGGAGUCGCUAGUAAUCGCGGAUCAGCAACGCCGCGGUGAAUGCGUUCCCGGGCCUUGUACACACCGCCCGUCAAGUCAUGAAAGUGGGCAGCACCCGAAGCCGGUGGCCUAACCCCUUGUGGGAUGGAGCCGUCUAAGGUGAGGCUCGUGAUUGGGACUAAGUCGUAACAAGGUAGCCGUACCGGAAGGUGCGGCUG